ACGAACGCUGGCGGCAUGCCUAACACAUGCAAGUCGAACGAGACCUUCGGGUCUAGUGGCGCACGGGUGCGUCACGCGUGGGAACCUGCCCUUAGGUUCGGAAUAACUCCCCGAAAGGGGUGCUAAUACCGGAUAAUGUCUUCGGACCAAAGAUUUAUCGCCUUUGGAUGGGCCCGCGUUGGAUUAGCUAGUUGGUAGGGUAAAAGCCUACCAAGGCGACGAUCCAUAGCUGGUCUGAGAGGAUGAUCAGCCACACUGGGACUGAGACACGGCCCAGACUCCUACGGGAAGCAGCAGUGGGGAAUAUUGGACAAUGGGCGAAAGCCUGAUCCAGCAAUGCCGCGUGAGUGAUGAAGGCCUUAGGGUUGUAAAUCUCUUUUACCCGGGAUGAUAAUGACAGUACCGGGAGAAUAAGCUCCGGCUAACUCCGUG
rnacentral:rRNA from 1 species